rnacentral:lncRNA from 1 species
CACGCACACUACCAACAUCAAAAUUACUCAAAGUUGGGCAAAUAUAGUUUAUUUUCUUUUUCCAACAAGUCAGUAGGAUUCUUUUUAAAAUUUUGAAUGAUUUUGUUUGCUAUUUUUAGUUUCUUAGAGCGUUUGCAUUUUUAAUGAAGUGCUAUUUCUUGUAUGAUUUUUCUUUCUUAUUCUAUUAUUUGAGAUUUACUUAUAUGGCCCUCAAAAAUGCCUCUUUCUUGCAUGACCAGUUUUUUUGAACUUCCUUCUACGGUCCUCAAACGAACUUUCAUUCCUUCUAUGAUCUUCCGUCCGUUUUCAGCACUUAACGAUGUUGAGUGGAGGUUAAAAAGACCAUAAUACCCCUGGCAUCAACAAAAAUUUUGCAAAGUUUGGUUUGUUUCUUGUAUAUUUUGAGUAAUAGUAAACAAAUAAAUUAACAAUUUAGACAUUAUAAUAGUACAUAUCUGGAUCACAAUAAAUAUUUGGACAGCAUCA